rnacentral:rRNA from 1 species
UACGGGGGGGGGCAAGCGUUGUUCGGAAUUACUGGGCGUAAAGGGCUCGUAGGCGGCCAACUAAGUCAGACGUGAAAUCCCUCGGCUUAACCGGGGAACUGCGUCUGAUACUGGAUGGCUAGAGUUUGGGAGAGGGAUGCGGAAUUCCAGGUGUAGCGGUGAAAUGCGUAGAUAUCUGGAGGAACACCGGUGGCGAAGGCGGCAUCCUGGACCAACACUGACGCUGAGGCGCGAAAAGCGUGGGGAGCAAACAGG